rnacentral:pre_miRNA from 1 species
GUACUACUCCCUCCGUUAUGAAUUAGAAUUACUUGUCGCACGUAUGGAUGUAUCUAGAUGUAUUUUAAUUCUAGAUACAUCCAUUUCUACGACGAGUAAUUUGGAACGGAGGGAGUACCAG